rnacentral:rRNA from 1 species
AAUAAUUAAAGGGAUUUGGUUGGCAGGGGGCGCUAUGAGAGUUAAAGGUGAAAUUUGGUGUUUGAGUGUAGCGGGCCUGUUGGUUAAAAGUUCUUGAGGUUAUAAAAUUUUAGAUCUAAAUCAGGAUUAGAUACCCUGUUAUACUAUCUUUCAAUUUAAGAAUACUUGAGUAUUAAUCAGUUAUGUUCUCGAAACUUAAAGGAUUUGGCGGUAUUUUAGUCGAGUUAGAGGAACCUGUUCUAUAAACGAUAAACCACGAAGAAUCUUACUCCUUUUUGUAAGUCAGUUUGUAUACCGUCAUUAUUAGAUAAUCUUUAUAAAGAAUUAUUGAGAUAAGUUUUUUAGUAUAUUAGAUCAAGGUGCAGCCGAUAGGGGAGCAAGAAAUGGGUUACAUUAUUACUGAUAUAUACUGGGAGGAAAUUGAAAAGUUCCUUGAAGGUGGAUUUAAUAGUAAUAGUCUUUUAAUAAGGGAUUAUGAUAAUAGCUCUAAGAUAUGUACACAUCGCCCGUCGCUCUCACUCUUAAUGU